CUGUGGCAGGAGUGGCGCAAGGGUGCGUAACACGUGGGUCAUUUGCCGCGAAGUUGGGAACAACUCGUUGAAAGACGAGCUAAUACCUAAUGUGCUCCGCAAGGAGUAAAGCCGGGGGACCGAAAGGGCCUGGCGCUUCGCGAUAAGCCCGCGGCCUAUCAGCUAGUUGGCGGGGUAAAAGCCCACCAAGGCUAAGACGGGUAGCUGGUCUGAGAGGACGACCAGCCACACUGGAACUGAGACACGGUCCAGACACCUACGGGUGGCAGCAGUCGAGAAUUUUUCACAAUGGGCGAAAGCCUGAUGGAGCGACGCCGCGUGGGGGAUGAAGGGCUUCGGCUCGUAAACCCCUGUCAUUUGCGAACAAAGGCGCCAACCUAACACGUUGUCGUCUGAUAGUAGCAGAAGAGGAAGGGACGGCUAACUCUGUGCCAGCAGCCGCGGUAAUACAGAGGUCCCAAGCGUUGUUCGGAUUCACUGGGC
rnacentral:rRNA from 1 species